rnacentral:rRNA from 1 species
GACGAACGCUGGCGGCGUGCUUAACACAUGCAAGUCGAACGCUGAAGCUCAGCUUGCUGGGUGGAUGAGUGGCGAACGGGUGAGUAACACGUGAGUAACCUGCCCUCUUCUUUGGGAUAACGCCCGGAAACGGGUGCUAAUACUGGAUAUUCACUGAUUCUCGCAUGGGGGUUGGUGGAAAGGUUUUUUCUGGUGGGGGAUGGGCUCGCGGCCUAUCAGCUUGUUGGUGGGGUGAUGGCCCACCAAGGCUUUGACGGGUAGCCGGCCUGAGAGGGUGACCGGUCACAUUGGGACUGAGAUACGGCCCAGACUCCUACGGGAGGCAGCAGUGGGGAAUAUUGCACAAUGGGCGAAAGCCUGAUGCAGCGACGCCGCGUGAGGGAUGGAGGCCUUCGGGUUGUAAACCUCUUUCGCUCAUGGUCAAGCCGCAGCUUUGGGUUGUGGUGAGGGUAGUGGGUAAAGAAGCGCCGGCUAACUACGUG